AGUUAGUUAUAGAUCCAAAACAAAAGGACUUGCGCUGUCGGCUCAACAGUUGUACCGGAGUCUACCGGAAGUUCCACCCAUAAUUCACGCAAAGGCUCAUGGGGGCUAGGAAUACCGUCACAUAUUUCCCACCAUGCACUGCGGCUCAAAAUGCAUAUUUGGUCAAGAAAAAAACCUUACAUAGUUAUAUUUACGUUUCUUCAUAUUUUAUUUACAAUAUAUAGUAUGUCAUUCAUGUUUGCCAAAGCACCCUGAAAUAAAAAAGUGCACCGGAAGUGAAACCAUGAGUUAACACAUAGGGCUGAUACACCCACUAUAAAUACCGAUCAGCGACAAAUCCGUCUCUGAGAGUUGGCAUGUUGACGGGCAUCCUGGUGGAGGAGGGGUCGGACCGGCACAUAUGCGUCUCGUGCUAAGAAGCCCGCGGGGGGCUCCGUUGUUUACCGGUGAGACAGACGGAGCGGAGGAGAGGUACAGAGAGCGGAGCGGUCGAAAGGAGUUUUUAUAACGCCGGAAAAAAAAUAAGAAAAAUGCCUGCAAGACGAUCAUCGUGUGAAAUAUAACCUUCAUGGAGGUUCAGAGAAGACUUUGGGACCGAAGGAGCAACAAGAAGGAGUCAUUUUUGGCGAGAAAAGUGUCCUGUGGGCUGCAGCUGAUGAUGCUGGAGGACCAGAGAUGAGAAAACGUGAGGAUGCUGGAGGUGCUGGUGAUGUGGUCAGAGAUCAAAGCUGCUCAUCACAUCAACAACAGUGGAAGAGAUGCAGAACCAUGUGAUGGAGAUCCUCAUCCACUGAGAUUCAACCCCAGACGGAUCCCAGGUGUCUAACCAUCUCUAAAUACAGAAAACCAUCACCAGGUGAAAUCUUUUCCCACUGAUGCUGCAAAGUCUGCACCAAGAGCACUUCCUGGAAGUUUGGGACCUGUGACUGUCACUGGUAGCAUCACCAAGACCUUUGAGGAGCCAAAGAGGACAGAACUGCCCUGUGUGACCAAAAACGCCUGUAGAUAUUUGGCAUUUUAUGCACUGUUUUUUUGCACUAUUAGAGGGAAAUAUACAGAAAUGUUGUUGUAAAUUGUUUGACAUUGGAUAAAUGUAAUCUUUUAACAAACAAAAUCUGUUGUUCAUGUACAUUUGCACUGUUUUUCUCACUAAAAACUCUAAAAAUCACA